rnacentral:rRNA from 1 species
AUGCCAAUGGUGUUGAGUGGGAAGAAGAUCAAUACCCCAAGACGAAGUUUGUUCCUCAAUAAGAGAAGUGUGAUCCUACUUCCUUCAAAGGAACACAAGCUCAAGAUGAUCUUCCACUACAAGACCACAAGCAAAAAAGGCAGGGACAAGCUUCAAGAGGAGAUUGAUGCAUUUGAAGAAGCUCCUAAGGCCUUGGUCAAGUGGCUUCCCAAGACAACAUCAAGUUCUACUUCAUCAAGUACGACCACAACUCCAAGAAUUCCCAUCAAGUUGAUGUGGAUCCCGAAGAAGAAGAACUAG